CCAUCAAGUGCCCAUGAGCAUAUGUCCAUAAUAAAUAUGCAUUAGUUGUGAAAAUGAUUUUAGUUCCUUUUUAUGCCCGUGAAGGUGGGCAUAUAGUGAUCUCACUGUCCGUCUGUCUGUCUGUCUGAAAUUUCGUCACACUUUGCGUUUAGGUUUCGAAAAAUGUGGAAAAACACUUUGCGUUUAGGUUUAGACAAAUUUGGAAAAAGGGGGCAUAUGUCAUCCUAUGGUGACAAGCCUUGUUGUUAUAUGAAAUAGUAAUUGUUGAUAUAAUUUGUGAUUAAAGGCUAUUUUUUGUAAUCCAGAUUGCAUCUGGCAGCCCUGCAUUCCGUUUCUAAUGCGCACAGGAAACAUGCAGAGACGAAGAACGGCGAAAAGCGCUACAGGAUUUCGUAUCCAAAGUACAAGGCGGGACACCAUGUCGUGAAACCUGUCAAAGAGGCCUGCAAUUAUGAUUAUGUCACAGAGCUCAUGGUUGAAUUGCUGCAAUUAAAACAACAGUUCAAGAGCACCCGGAUUGCUAAGCAGGCAUCUUCUUCCAUUCUGUUCUCUCCACCACCAUUAGCAUCAUCUGCGAAGAAAAUUUUAAAGAAUGAAGCAGUGCAGUUGCACCGCUCUAGGUUUAAUUAAUUACAGUAAUUGGAAACAACUUGGCAUGCCAUUUGUCAUGUAUUGCUCCAGCUGGGUUUAGUGUACGUGCGUAAGGUGUCAUCCCAGAUUAGCAUGUGCCAUAUAUGUUUGUAAUUAAUUAAAAAAACCCUCGCGCUGGAAAGAUGGGACAAAGCGUGCGCAAAAUAUCUCAUCCCAUAUUAGCCUGUGUCCCUGAUAAGACUGUGCAGACUCGACGUGAAAACAUGAUAUGCCCCAAGUUUUAUAUGACAAUGUCUACGAAUGUGCCCUUUUGACAAAUUAGAACCUAGCUGAAGCACUGAUCACGUAUUGUUUCAAAUUAACAUAGCAACUACAAUUAUUUUUUUGAAAAAUGUGAAUGUAUUAUUUUGACAAAUAUGCUGUAAUAAUAGUUUUCCCAUUGUGUGCUAUACUGUUAGUAUAAAAAUGUUAAUGUCAACACCUUUAUUUUUAAAUGUUGGGACCAUGUAGUGUUUUUUGUGUGAUAGUAUUGGUCUGUAAAAGAUGUUUUAAAAGUCAUUUUGUUAAAGGUACUUAAUUUGACUCCAUGACAAGUUGUAUUGCAACAUUGUGCUAGUAAAGCUCAUUUACUUAUUCCGUCCAGUUUUCUAAAACUUGUCGUCAGGUUACAAGUUGUUCUGUUGUUGUGUCUGUGGUAAUUUAUAUUUUUAGAUGUUGCAAUAAACUUGUAUGCUACAUA